rnacentral:misc_RNA from 1 species
GUAUUAGAUUUCAGCUUGUGAAAGCUUACUGCAAUACAUCAUUCUGGCAUAUUAUUGGGGUUUGGUAUAAAAACAUAGGCAGACAAUGUGCACAUAUUGCUAUUGCUCUGAAGUCGACACACACAAAAGUCGACUCACAUUGUUUUGCCUACUGGGUGUGCACAAUGGUGUAGAGGAUGGAGAUUUUGGGGAGUGCACGCACAUAUGCAAACCUGUGAGGGCAGCCAGCACAUCCUUUUAAAUCAAUAAUGAUCCUUCCGCAGGUUCACCUACGGAAA